rnacentral:rRNA from 1 species
GCCCACAUGAAGUCGGAGUUGCUAGUAAUCCCGAAUCAGAAUGUCGGGGUGAAUGCGUUCCCGGGUCUUGUACACACCGCCCGUCACGCCAUGGGAGUCGGGGGUACCCGAAGUCGGUGAGCUAACCGCAAGGAGGCAGCCGCCUAAGGUAAAACCGAUGACUGGGGUGAAGUCGUAACAAGGUACC